rnacentral:rRNA from 1 species
CACGUAGGGCGCAAGCGUUGUCCGGAAUUAUUGGGCGUAAAGAGCUCGUAGGCGGUCUGUUGCGUCCGCUGUGAAAACCCGGGGCUUAACCCCUGGCUUGCAGUGGAUACGGACAGACUAGAGGUAGGUAGGGGAGAAUGGAAUUCCCGGUGUAGCGGUGAAAUGCGUAGAUAUCGUAAGGAAGACCAGUGGCGAAGGCGGGUCUCUGGACAGUUCCUGACGCUGAGGCACGAAGGCCAGGGGAGCAAACGGG